UUCAGCAAGUGUCUAUACAUCUUCACCAAAAAGAUAUGGAGUAAAACUUCAGCGGGAGCUCCCCAACGACUCCCACCGUCAUGUGUUAGUUCUUUUAAUACUAAAAUUCAAAAAAAAAAAAGUUGAAGUUUUAAUUUCUAAAGAAAAGAAUUAUAGCCGUUGGAUAGAGAUAAAAGUGGCACCCGAUGAAGGAUUGAGGCUCAUUAACGAGACUUCGUAUGAUGUAUAGUACAUUACCAAAUAGGCAAGGUUCCAAUAUGGAUUGUUAAUCAAUAUUUUUUUCAUAGUGCUUGACUGAAUUGGAGAUGUUUGGGCACGAAAUGGACGCGAAAACGAACUCAGAUUUAACGCGGGGCAUGACACUUUGUU
rnacentral:lncRNA from 1 species